CUGCUGCUGACUGAGGCUUUAAAAGCAUCUCUCUGAAGCCCAGCACUUGGGAGCCAGAGCCAGGAGGACCUCUGCAAGUUCCGGGACAGCCAGGGCUAGACAGUGAAACCCUGUCUCAAACAAACAAACAAAAUUAAUUUAAAAAAAUAAAUAAGCUGAAGAAUAACGGUAAAAGGAGAGUGGGUUCUAGGCUGAGGGAAAUGGACACGUGAGGUCACUUCCAAGAUGGCCCCAUGAUUCUUUUUUUGUGUCUUUGUUUGUUUGUCUUUUGAGACAGGGUUUCUCGGUGAGCCCUGGCUGUCCUGGAACUAGCUCUGUAUCCCAGGCUAGCCUCUAACUCAGAAUUCCACCUGCCUCUGCCUCCCAAGGGCUGGGAUUAAAGGCAUUUGUCACUUCAUAAGACUCAAAGUAUGUAUAGGAACCCGUUUCAUCAGAGAGGGCAAUUUGCUUAAGACUGGGAUCUUUAAAAAACGAUAGAAGUGUGUUUUCCAAGACCAUGCCUUAAGACAUGGUGGCUUUGUUCUCACCCCUUUGCUGAUCUUUCAGCUCCUAGGACACUGCCAUGGUGGAAGAAAAGCAAGCUCUCCCUGUACUGGGAGAUCUGGUCGGGGGACCAUGCCAUCUUACGUUUGAGCUUUUCAGCCUCAGCAAAACCUUCAGGCAACUGUGACCUGGUCAAUAUCAAGACCACAUCCCAGGGGCUGGAGUUGAACGAAGGUGGCCUCAACCAGGCCGACUCAGAACUUCAGCUUUUCCACCCGGACCCAUGGGUGUGGUGACCCCUGGUGUUUUCCGACCAGACGACAGGGUUUCAGGCUGGAGAGAAGGCUCAGCAG